GAUGAAGAACGUAGCGAAAUGCGAUAAGUAAUGUGAAUUGCAGAAUUCAGUGAAUCAUCGAAUCUUUGAACGCACAUUGCGCUCGCCAGUAUUCUGGCGGGCAUGCCUGUUCGAGCGUCAUUUCAACCAUCAAGCCCCAGGCUUGUGUUGGGGACCUGCGGCUGCCGCAGGCCCUGAAAACCAGUGGCGGGCUCGCUAGUCACACCGAGCGCAGUAGCACAUCUCGCUCAGGGCGUGCGGCGGGCUCCUGCCGUGAAACCCCCCACUGUAACCCCAAAGGUUGACCUCGGAUCAGGUAGGAAUACCCGCUGAACUUAAGCAUAUCAAUAAGCGGAGGA
rnacentral:misc_RNA from 1 species